rnacentral:rRNA from 1 species
GACAGAGGGUGCAAACGUUGUUCGGAAUUACUGGGCGUAAAGCGCGUGUAGGCGGCUCGGCAAGUCGGGUGUGAAAGCCCUGGGCUUAACCUAGGAAGUGCACUCGAAACUGCCAAGCUUGAGUUCUGGAGAGGAAGGCGGAAUUCUCGGUGUAGAGGUGAAAUUCGUAGAUAUCGAGAGGAACACCGGUGGCGAAGGCGGCCUCUGGACAGCAACUGACGCUGAGAAGCGAAAGCAUGGGGAGCGAACAGG